rnacentral:rRNA from 1 species
CCUACGGGAGGCAGCAGUGGGGAAUAUUGGGCAAUGGGCGCAAGCCUGAACCAGCAAAGCCGCGUGAAGGAAGAAGGCUUUCGGGUUGUAAACUUCUUUUGGCAGGGAAGAGUAGAAGACGGUACCUGACGAAUAAGCCACGACUAACUACGUGCCAGCAGCCGCGGUAAUAAGUAGGUGGCAAGCGUUGUCCGGAUUUACUGGGUGUAAAGGGCGUGUAGCCGGGUUGACAAGUCAGAUGUGAAAUCCUGCGGCUUAACCGCAGAACUGCAUUUGAAACUGUUGAUCUUGAGUACUGGAGAGGCAGACGGAAUGCCUAGUGUAGCGGUGAAAUGCGUAGAUAUUAGGAGGAACACCAGUGGCGAAGGCGGUCUGCUGGACAGCAACUGACGGUGAGGCGCGAAAGCGUGGGGAGCAAACAGGAUUAGAUACCCGUGUAGUC